UGGGUGGCAGGGCUGGGUGACCAGCGUGGGUGACCAGCGUGGGUGACAAGCAGGGCUGGGUGACCACCAGCGUGGGUGACAAGCAGGGCUGGGUGACCUGCAGGGCUGGGUUACAAGCGUGGGUGACAAGCAGGGCUGGGUGUGAAACAGUAUUGGUGUGUCUUGUCUUGUUACUGACAUGCGUGGAUACAGCACAACGCUCGCGGGACUACGCUGUUCUGGCCUGCCCUGGUUGUAGAACCGCCUGGAAUCGCGAUGCAAGUGCUGCUGUUGUGCGGUAGUGUCGUGCGGUUGAGGUAGCUAGUUGAGUAGUUGCGUAUUCGCCGUCCAGACAAUGUCUGUCGACGAGGGGAGGCCCCCUUACGGGGGCCGGUAGCCCCCUUACGCCUGCCCUAUCAGUGGCCUCCGGGCCCAAACGCAUCGGGUGUGAGGUGGCCUGUGCUUCGGCUGCGGUCGGGGUGCACGGCUGCUCCAUGCGGGGGCUGGGCGCGGCGCCUGUGCUUAGGCGGGACUGACGUGGCCAUAUAAGGUGUUGUGCACUGGGGUGGCCUCCGAUGACCCAUUCAACCCGUGCCAGGCAAUUGCCGCGGGAAGUGUAAUAUGGAUACGCCCCGCACAUACUGUAAUCGUGCCUCUUGGACAGGUUUGACGUGAACGGUGACAUCAUGGCGGACGCGCAGCUGCAGACCUACAGCCCUGUCACAGGAGAAGCCGUACCACUGGACGUUAUGCCUUAAAGCCACUGUUCUAUGAGUAAUGGAGUUACGUUAAAUCGUUAAUCAGUGAGAGGUGGAGGUGUUCCCAGAUUGCAGUUCUGUGGGGACGCUUGAUUGGCUGGAUGUCUGAGUGCCGUCGGUUGAGGGUGCUCUGUCCUAUCCUCAUACUGAAAGACUAGUAGGCUGUGGCGGCCGUGUUUUGGCCCGCAUCAGGUAGACCCACAGAUGUAACAACAGGUGGCACGCGUGGGUGGCGCAGCCGUGGGGCUUGGAGCACGGCGGAUGUACGACAAUGACUAUCGGGACUUCGCCACCUUGCCCCUUACCCUGUUCCAUCGCACGCUGACGUUGUCGAUGAACUCCCCUGACCAGCGACAAGUCUGGGUCUGGGCCAAAACCACUGUUUGGUUGGAUCCAGCCCCAUGCAGCCGUGCCGGCCAAGUUGUGAAACCCCCUGUGCGCGAGCGUGCCCCCCCAUCUGUCCUGCGACAGCCCCAGCUUGUCGCCUCCACAUCACAUCUAGGAAAUUGCAGCCCUCCCUGGGGUAGUUUGGCACUCGUGGACAGGGGAACACCGUCCUCUUGCCCGACCUGGCUCCGAUCUGCUCCGAUGAGGUGGCAGGUACGCUAGCUCACCAGGGCUUAUGUCGGGAUUCCGGGAUAGCAGUAUUCCGGGACAACAGUAUUGAUUAUUUUACAUCAUAGACACUUGCUAUUGGUCUCCGCGCCCCAGAUAACAACUCACUCGCGCCGAGCGUUGUGCACAAAGCCACAAAGCGUUGUGUACUUGGUUCAGAGCCGAAGACACGAUUUAGCGAGCACAGCGUGUUAUACCGGGACGAUCUAACCCUGCAAUAAUUGCCUUUACCGUUGGCGUUGAUCCUGUAUAGUCUUGUUGCAUGAGUUUGAGGCAGCUUCAUUUUAUACACGUAUUGACACUUACAUUGUAUUCUAUAUCCAUAACUCGAAUGCCCUGCUAAUGCCUUGCACUGGGUUGGACUCGCACCCGGUUUUCAGCCAAGGCAUGGGUUGUCGACCCCUUCAGAAGCUCAUUGAGUACAAAUAGCCUGUUUCAAUGCAUCAUACUGAGCCUCGGCUGAGAGCCGCAUGUGUACAGGGACACCCCUAAAUGCGGGGUACUUGUUGCGACCUUCGAGUUUGGCCUCCAUACUUAGUUCUAUGUGAAUAUCUGAUGCACCUUUACAUGCUUGCACUGAAAACAUAGCUGCACCCUCGACCCCCAGCAGAAGUCACACGGGCUGCUUGCAGCGUAACUCCUUAUAUUUUGCAAGGGACUCGGGUGGCAGAGGCACACGGGUGGAGAGGGUGGAGGGACUGGAGAUGGAAGGGCGGCAAAGGCACACGGGUGGAGAAACUGGGGAUGGAAGGGCGGCAGCCAGCAGUACGGUCACAUCCGGCAGUGGUGGCGUAGGGAAAGAGGAGGCGUGAGGAGGCGUGUGCGUCAGCCAGGCCUUCUGCAGUACCCCUUUGCUUGCAUCUGGUCUUGAUACACAGCAGAGACGUAUCACGCAGCGGUGCAGCCCUUGUAAGGGCUGUCCUAUGCCACAAGCGCGCCCGCAAGCCCUGCUGGACAGUGCCCAGGGGCCCUGCCCUGGCGCCGUGCUCUGGGCUCCUGCGCGCGACCCGCUUCCGGGUGUGACCAUACUGAUGGCUGCUGGUCUUAUAGCCAGGGCUGUCUGGAAGCGCGGGGCCUGAAUGGGCACGCAGCAGAGGGGCUUGGCGGGGCCAGGUGGGCCUGGGACGGCACGGCGAGGGCCGCGUGCGACGGCACGACCUGGCGCACCUGCGUCGUGUGCUUGCUGACAUGUGCGAGUAUUUCACAAUUCACAAAUACUAUGUAACUAUGUAGUAUGCGCGUCAGGCACACUCGGGGCUGGCGACCGAAAUUGUUUUCGCCUUUCCAGCGCGACAGGCCCUCGCGCGAGCGACGCAAGGCAAGCCCAAAAGUCGUCACUUUCCUGGCGUCGGUUCCUUCAUACUCCUUUAAGCAUAUACAUCUAAGUAUCUGAUCGCAAACAAGCUACCUUGACCCGGGGGUAGCCCGAAUCCUAACGAAAUGCGGGGCCCCUGAAGAUGCCGACAUGCCCACACGCGAACCAGCGAUGCGCGCCUUGCCCAGCCAGUAGGCUGUGGACACGCGCCUAGGGCCGCGAACAUACACCAGCCAUGGUGGAACAUUUAUGGGCCCGCCAAACAGGCGCUAGGUCAGUCCAUGGACAGCGUGCCGUACGGGGCUGACGGACGCCCGGCCACGGCAAGGCCAGGGCACUGCUGGUCCUGCGGUCUGCCUCCCGUGUUUGCAUGCCAGGUAGUGUGUCUUGGCAAUGGAGGGCAGUCAGGCGCGGCGCACAGCCUCCAUAGCACUUGGGCGGCCUCACUACACACACCCAAGCGAGCACCCCCUCACGGCCAAAAUGCCAGCACGCCAGCGCGCCUGCCAUUACGCAUUACCUCCUGACCAUCGACUCCGCACCUGAACUUCGUUCGAGCUGUGCCACCCGCACUGGCAACUCCCAUAUUCCCACCCCACCACUGUUUCGGUUUCCGGUUGUACUUGGCUCUUAUGCAUGCUGCGCCAGGUGGGCAUGAUCACGGACAGCAGUGACCAAAACGAUCCGUCAACCAUAGCCGAGGCAGUGUCGCUCAUCAACGGCGCGAACAUGGCGGCCUUGGACCGAGGUACCGUACAAAUACGUUUCAUCUUGACUUGAAAUUUCAGCCGAAAUGUACUGGUAUGCGUCCGCGGUCACUACAGCUCAAGUAUCUGAGCACUGGGCCAGGAUGCGGGCCGCCAGCGCCUCCUGACAAGGGAUCCCUAAAACCCCCACGCCAACGGAGCAGCACUGUAAGGGGCUAGCGCCCGAAGUCUUCCCAAGUCAACGGACAAAGUCGGACCGCAACUUCCUUGCAUCAUUAUUUGCUGCUCCUCUUCCCACUGACUUGCUUUCCCUCAUGAGUUUGGAACAUGCUGCCCGACCCGCCAUGCACAGGUUACAGGUCACCCAGCCCUGCUGGUCACCCAGCCCUGCUUGUCACCCACGCUGGUCACCCAGCCCUGCUUGUCACCCAGCCCUGCCACCCAGCCCUGUCACCCACGCUGGUCACCCAGCCCUGCUUGUCACCCACGCUGGUCACCCACGCUCCGCUGCAUGCUUCUUUGGAUUUGGGACUGCUUGCCACCCAGUCCUGCUUGUCACCCAGCCCUGCUGGUCACCCAGCCCUGCUUGUCACCCACGCUGGUCACCCAGCCCUGCUUGUCACCCAGCCCUGCCACCCAGCCCUGCUUGUCACCCACGCUGGUCACCCAGCCCUGCUUGUCACCCACGCUGGUCACCCACGCUCCGCUGCAUGCUUCUUUGGAUUUGGGACUGCUUGCCACCCAGUCCUGCUUGUCACCCAGCCCUGGAGAUUGGGACUGCAGAGGUGGGGCCGCAUUAGCCCACUAAACACGGGCUGCUUUUACACUGCAGCAUUUCUUUUGCUACCAUUGUAAAAUAGAUAUUUGAUAUGCGACAAAAGAGCCGCAAGCGCAAGAAGCUGGCGGACGAGGAGGACAGCGAGGAGGAGGAGGACCCUAGCACUUUUAGCGUCAAGACCCGCAGGCGGAGGCGGAAUGACCGCCGCAAGCGCCGCCUGCAGGCAGGCAAACCGACGCAGCCGCCACGGUACUGGAGCAAGAAGCUCCGGAAGCUGGAGGCAGCAACUGCGGCAGUCGCAGCGGGAGCUGGCGGGGGUGAAGCAGCUGGGCAGGGGGCAUGGGCGCCGCUGCAGCUGCACUGGUCGGACAUCCGCUUCCGCUCACGGAAGUUCGGCGUGUACUCACAGUCGCAGCGCGUGCUGCACCGUGAGGCGCGUCGGCUUACGGGCGGGGCGCCCAUGUCGCGAGUGAGCAUGCGUGCAUGACGAGCAGCGUUACCAGCUGUCCUUGUCCGCGGCUGUGCUUGGGCCUGAGUCCCAGGUCAUCCACCCCACCCGCACCAACUUCACCCCCGCUGCACACAGGUGUCCAUCGGCUACGGCAACGCCAGCACCGGCCACAACUCCGUCAUCAAACGCCCCAGCCGCGGGCCGCAUAAGGCCAUGCAGCGGCUGCUGCGGCGCUGCUACGCCCGCAGCGUCGUGAUGAUUGAUGAGUACUGCACCUCGCAGGUGCGCGGUGGUAGGGUACUAGGGCGGCGGGGGGGGGGUUGUUUAUUCCAGAAACCGAAGCGGGGGGAGAGGGGGGAGAGGGCAAGUGAGGCCGGCAGAUCAGGGUGGACAGGGACGUGCUGGAUGGACUGGGACAGGCAGGGUGGGCUGGGUGACAAGCAGGAGGGAUGACAAGCUGGAGGGAUGACAAGCAGGGUGGGUGACAAGCAGGGCUGCGUGACCAGCGUGGAUGGCCAGCGGCCAGCGUGGGUGACAAGCAGGAGGGAUGACAAGCAGCGUGUGCCUCGUGUAGGUCUGCUACAACUGCGGCCUGCGGGAGCUGCGGAAGAUCCUGCCGCACAACGGCACGCGGCGCUACACUGUUCUGGCCUGCGACGGCUGUGGAACCGUCUGGUGAGCACGACGCAUGGGCCGAGGGGCUGAGGGCAACUGGGGACAGGUGGGCUGAGGGCCUGAGGACAGGUGCUCCGAGGACAGAGCUGAGCCUUUCCUUGCAUGUCACUGGCUUUCUUGUGCUUGUGCACGCGCUGGCACAGGAAUCGCGAUGCCAACGCGGCGGCGAACAUCCGCCUCAUCACCGCCUGCCUGGAGGAGGGACUGCCGCGGCCUGAGGCGCUCACGCGCCCCAUCCACGGCAGUGGUGGUGGCGGAGCAGGACGACAAGGAGGAGGCCAGCGCGCGCCCUGCACCCGUUCGGCGCCAGGAGCGGCGGCGGCGGCAACCGCCGCUGCGGCUGCCGCGGAUGCUGAUGCUGCGGUGCAGGGCGGCGGCGCCUACGGCUAGUCUGAGAUUAUGGCGCGUGGGUAUGGACCAGCGUGGGUGACAAGCAUACGGGAUGACAAGCAGGGCUGGGUGACAAGCAGGGCUGGGUGACCAGCGUGGGUGACCAGCGUGGGUGACAAGCAGGGCUGGGUGACCACCAGCGUGGGUGACAAGCAGGGCUGGGUGACCUGCAGGGCUGGGUUACAAGCGUGGGUGACAAGCAGGGCUGGGUGUGAAACAGUACUGGUGUGUCAUGUCUUGUUACUGACAUGCGUGGAUACAGCACAACGCUCGC
rnacentral:lncRNA from 1 species